CUGAAUUGUUAUGAGAGCCUUUUAGCUCUCGAGGUGGUCAAUCAGGUCGGUAGAACAAUCAUAUAGCGCCACUUGCGGCAUCUUGAAUCGAGAUAGAAUCGAUUCGUCCAAGAUGUGCCGAGAGAGAGGCUGGGCGGUGUGAAAGUGGUAGUCGUUGGAGGACUUCUGACCUUCCACCUGAAGUUGGACGAGUCGGUGGUUGAUUUCUUGGAGCUUGCACUCAUAUUCAUCAAACCGAUGCUGUUGAGAAACUCCAGGGGUAGAACCCCUCGACGAGCUUGAAGGAGAAGCAGAAGGUGUCCGCGGCCGUUUUUCUUUCCUAAUGUGGUCG
rnacentral:lncRNA from 1 species